rnacentral:rRNA from 1 species
GACGAACGCUGGCGGCGUGCUUACACAUGCAAGUCGAACGAUGAACCCGGAGCUUGCCCCGGUGGAUUAGUGGCGAACGGGUGAGUAACACGUGAGUAACCUGCCCUUGACUCUAGGAUAACUGCGGGAAACUGUAGCUAAUACCGGAUACGACCCUCGGCGGCAUCGCCAGGGGGUGGAAAGAAUUUCGGUCAAGGAUGGACUCGCGGCCUAUCAGCUAGUUGGUGAGGUAACGGCUCACCAAGGCGACGAAGGGUAGCCGGCCGGAGAGGGUGACCGGCCACACUGGGACUGAGACACGGCCCAGACUCCUACGGGAGGCAGCAGUGGGGAAUAUUGCACAAUGGGCGCAAGCCUGAUGCAGCAACGCCGCGUGAGGGAUGACGGCCUUCGGGUUGUAAACCUCUUUUAGUAGGGAAGAAGCGAAAGUGACGGUACCUGCAGAAAAAGCACCGGCUAACUACGUGCCAGCCGCCGCGGUAA